GGACUACAGGGGUUUCUAAUCCUGUUUGCUCCCCACGCUUUCGCGCCUCAGCGUCAAUGGUGGGCCAGAUGGCCGCCUUCGCCACCGGUGUUCUUCCCAAUAUCUACGAAUUUCACCUCUACACUGGGAAUUCCGCCAUCCUCUCCCACCUUCCAGCGCCGCAGUAUCAAGCGCAAUUCCCAGGUUGAGCCCGGGGCUUUCACGCCUGACUUACAGCACAGCCUACGCGCCCUUUACGCCCAGUAAUUCCGAACAACGCUAGCCCCCUUCGUAUUACCGCGGCUGCUGGCAC
rnacentral:rRNA from 1 species